UACAAUUCGUUUGUAUACAUCUCUUCCAGUAUGCUGAUUUACGGCAAGGCUUGCAUUCCCUUACGGCUCUCAGAAAAAGGAUGCGAUCAGUGGAAUAUUGCGCGUUUAAAUAAGAUGUGGGGCAAGCUAAUAGAGGCUGCAUGUGAACCAUCAAACUGGAACUGCCUUCUUGAAGCAAAGUGCGACGCCCCAAUAAUAUCCGACGCGAACACUGAUUGCUACAAACAUAUAACCAGGAACACGGCGUCGAUACUCGAAAGCCUAGUGACCCACUUGAACCAAGUGGGGAUGUGGAACUACUCUGCUGUAUGUUAAAAUACAACAAGUAUUGCGUUCCGAAACUCCUAGAAGAAAAAGGCUGCCACCCCGACGCUGUUCUACAUUCUGGUACGGCGAUAGAGACGAGAAUGAAAACAACUUGUCCAUCGUCCAAACCGAAGUGCGUCCCUCCACUACAGUGCAAUGAUAAAAUCUUAUCAGACGCCAGGCUCAUUUGCGAGCAAAGAUAUAAAGAAGCACACGAACCAACAGGUUGGAAACGUCGUGCAGACCUACAACCUAGAGUUCUGAGUCGGGAGGAGAUGCACAAAGAACAUUGCUGCGAUGUUUCACACAGCGAUUGGACGAUCCACGCACCAGAUCUUUAAAGUUUGUGCUCGAAUGAUCGACGACUUUCACAAGAAGCCCGAUGCAAAGUUCCUUUAUGAUAUGUGUCUGCCUUUCAAUACCUAUGGCUUCACGGGCGGCUACGUCAUCUUUGACGUCCACUUCCACUACCUGUGUUCAGCACCGCCAGCAUUCGUAGAUUCCAAGGGUGACUUUGGCGUUGUGAAGUGGGCAAAAGUUAAUAUGCACAAGAACUACGCCGGGUUACAUUGCGAGAAGCUCUGCUGAUAAGCUCAUGGGCAAAGAAUGUGAUUAUCAUUUGGAUGCGGAGUAUUGUUUACAUGGCCGUGAAGCAAUCUGAUGUGAUAUGAUGCAAUAUAUGAUGUUCCAUCCAUGA